AUGGCGACCGGCGCACGGGUGAGUAACGCGUAUGCAACUUACCUAUCAGAGGGGGAUAGCCCGGCGAAAGUCGGAUUAAUACCCCAUAAAACAGGGGUCCCGCAUGGGAAUAUUUGUUAAAGAUUCAUCGCUGAUAGAUAGGCAUGCGUUCCAUUAGGCAGUUGGCGGGGUAACGGCCCACCAAACCGACGAUGGAUAGGGGUUCUGAGAGGAAGGUCCCCCACAUUGGUACUGAGGCACGGACCAA
rnacentral:rRNA from 1 species